GCUUAUGGCUCAGUGACAGAACCUUUGCUUGGCACAUAGAAGGUCUCAGGUUCAAUCCCUGGCAUCUCCA
rnacentral:tRNA from 1 species